UACGGGGGGGGCAAGCGUUGUUCGGAAUUACUGGGCGUAAAGGGCUCGUAGGUGGCCAACUAAGUCAGACGUGAAAUCCCCAGGCUCAACUUGGGAACUGCGUCUGAUACUGGAUGGCUUGAAUUCGGGAGAGGGAUGCAGAAUUCCAGGUGUAGCGGUGAAAUGCGCAGAUAUCCGAAGGAACACCGGUGGCGAAGGCGGCUUCCUGGACCGACACUGACGCUGAGGCGCGAAAGCUAGGGGAGCAAACGGG
rnacentral:rRNA from 1 species